CUCAACCUUUUUUAUGUUAGUUGUAUCUAUUCAUUUGGUUUAUCUGGAGAGGAUUUGUGCUGGACAAUCAAUAAUAAAGGGAUUAUGGUGAUGAUUUAAUCGGUUUGAUUCAGUAUUUUACUGUAUUGGGCUUUUUUCUAUUCUGUUGUCUAAAAUACAAUGCCGCACAAUAAUUACUUUAAAUGUGCCUGAAAAAAAACCUUCAACCUUGAUUGAGACAAAGGCGAUAAUUCAAAUGCAAUUCAAACUACAUCCAGUAUUUAAUAUUUUCAAAUGGUUACAAUAGCACAUGAUUUUGGUAUUUUUAUCUUUGGGACAAAUUUUGGAUUCAAUUGGGGAUUGUUUUUGGAGGUAUUCACUUCACAUUAUGUUCGAGAUGCUUACUUCCGCCCACUCUGAAGAGUCUCGGCGUCUGAUUGGUCCAAUUUUCAUUUAGGCGCUGCCUGAUUGGCCAGUGGAUGAUGUCUGCUCCUAACAGAGGGCUAAAUCACUAGUUAACUAUUUUCAUCUUGGAAGUUAUACAGCUCACGUAUCACACUUAAUAUUGAAUAUAUAUAAAAAGGGUUUUCCAAAAGGACCAUUUAUAAUCGAAAUACAAAACUUCACACACGAUUUUGAGCACAACAGAGCGCUCAGUGAGCAGCACUUCCGGGACCUGCAGCACCGGAUGGGGACAUCUAUCUUGGCCACAAACCAUCUUUGACAGUCUUCGGCAGCAUGGUUGAAUCAGGCGCAUCAACACAUGAUAUAGACAUCGUGCCCAAAAGAAGAGCGAGAUGUAAUCCUGAGGCUGAAGCCACCGAGUUUAUGUGAUCUGGAUGUGACAAGUCUUGUUUUAAGGCCCAGUGGAUCAAUGAUUGGAAAGACACCAACUGUUGAUGUUCUAUCUCAACAUUCUCCAGAUUCAUGUGAGCGAUAAACCGACUUCAUCCCUCCAACAGACACCAACUGUUGGGGUUCUAUCUCAACAUUCUCCAGAUUAAGAUGUGAGCGAUAAACCGACUUCAUCCCUCCAACAG